rnacentral:rRNA from 1 species
UGGGGAAUUUUGGACAAUGGGCGAAAGCCUGAUCCAGCAAUGCCGCGUGUGUGAAGAAGGCCUUCGGGUUGUAAAGCACUUUUGUCCGGAAAGAAAUCCUUGGCUCUAAUACAGUCGGGGGAUGACGGUACCGGAAGAAUAGGCACCGGCUAACUACGUGCCAGCAGCCGCGGUAAUACGUAGGGUGCAAGCGUUAAUCGGAAUUACUGGGCGUAAAGCGUGCGCAGGCGGUUUGCUAAGACCGGUGUGAAAUCCCCGGGCUCAACCUGGGAACUGCAUUGGUGACUGGCAGGCUAGAGUAUGGCAGAGGGGGGUAGAAUUCCACGUGUAGCAGUGAAAUGCGUAGAGAUGUGGAGGAAUACCGAUGGCGAAGGCAGCCCCCUGGGCCAAUACUGACGCUCAUGCACGAAAGCGUGGGGAGCAAACAGGAUUAGAUACCCUGGUAGUCCCACGCCCUAAACGAUGUCGAACUAGUUUGUUGGGGAUUCAUUUCCUUAGUAACGUAGCUAACGCGUGAAGUUGACCGCCU